GCCCAAGUGGCGGAACGGUAGACGCAGGGGAUUCAAAAUCCCCCGCCUUUGCGGGUGUGUGGGUUCGAAUCCCACCUUGGGCACCA
rnacentral:tRNA from 1 species